CAAAAAUUUUUUGUCCACAUAAACGAGCCCAAUAGGCCCAUGACCCCUCUCCACAAGGCGCGUAUCAGAGCGGUGAAACAGUAUUUAGGGUUUCGCUGUUACCUCCAUAAAUACGGAGAGAACAUAACAACGAGAUAUGAGUUUACAGAACAGCGGUGUCUUUAGGUAAAUUGGUUACCCUCGAAUUCUCAUUAUUCUCAUCUCAUGCUGUUGUCUUUCUCUUGUUUUCUCGUUUGGCUUCUGUGGCUUCUCUGCUAAGAAGAAGAAUUGUCGUUCAAGUGAUGAGAAAAAACUGCAACAAUAUGAUGGAUUCAUUCCAUGAUUCAUGGUUUCGGAUUUUUUUGGUUUCAUUUCUAAGGGAAUCUAAUGAGCUCUGUGAUUAUAUGCCCGAUUUGGGCUAUAUACGCUAUUCUGAUUCAUAACAUGAGCAGAAAUCUGAGAAAUGAGAGCUAUUUCUUCUGCAUUUUCAGUUUUGUUUCGUUUUUUUUUUUAUGUACUGUUUACUAAUUUUAAUAUUGAAUAAUUGAAAUGUAUAUACAAGCUUCUGCAGUGAUGAAUUUAUGAAACAAUUCACAUGUCAGACUUCAGAGAUUUUUUCAAUCAGUGAGAAGAAAAUUCAUAUUUCUGAGCAGAGGUGAUAUUUUUUUUGUUUCGAAUUUUUAUUGCUUGUUGGAUGCUAAUUAAAUUAUGUAUAUUUUAUUUCUGACCGCAGAUUUAAGUACAUAGCAUUGCAGGAGAAA